GGAUGCGAUCAUACCAGCACUAACUCAUCGGAUCCCAUCAGAACUCCGAAGUUAAGUGUGCUUGGGCUAGAGUAGUACUAGGAUGGGUGACCUCCUAGGAAGUCCUUGUGUUGCAUUCC
rnacentral:rRNA from 1 species